CAAUACGCAGCAAAAGGGCGUCUGGGGGAUGCCUAUGGCUUCUGGUGGCGAAGAAGGACGUGGCAAGCGACGAAACGCUGUGGGGACCCGCUGGCAGGGGCUGAUCCGCAGGUAUCCGAAUGGGGCAACCCGGUGGUGUGCAGCACCAUCACCACGCGUAAGCGUGGGGCAAACGCGGUGAACUGAAACAUCUCAGUAGCCGCAGGAAGAGAAAACAAGUCAGUGAUUUCGUCAGUAGUGGCGAGCGAACGCGAAACAGCCCAAACCGACGCUGUUACGGCAGCGUCGGGGUAGUAGGACCCGACACCAAGCCACAAGCCGAACACGAAUGGUCUGGGAAGGCCAACCCCAGGGGGUGAGAGUCCCGUAGUGGGCAGGUGCGUGGUGGGUUGGGGAUCCUGAGUAGGGGGGGACCGGCGAAAUCCCCUCUGAAUCGACCGGCACCAUCCGGUAAGGCUAAAUACGACCAGAAGACCGAUAGUGAAGAGUACCGUGAGGGAACGGUGAAAAGCACGGGGAGUACCCGGGUGAAAUAGACCCUGAAACCAGACGCUUACAAGCGGUCGGAGCUGUCGGAUGGCAGUGACGGCGUGCCUUUUGCAUAAUGAGCCUACGAGUUACCCUGGCUGGCGAGGUUAAGUACCUGAAGGUACGCAGCCGAAGCGAAAGCGAGUCUGAAUAGGGCGUUGUAGUCAGUGGGGGUAGACGCGAAACUUGGUGAUCUACCCGUGGUCAGGCUGAAGGGGUGGUAAAACACCGUGGAGGGCCGAACCGAUAAGCGUUGAAAAGCUUCCGGAUGAACUGCGGGUAGGGGUGAAAGGCCAAUCAAACUGAGAAAUAGCUCGUACUCUCCGAAAUGUUUUUAGGAACAGCGUUACGUGUUACCGUCUGUGAGGUAGAGCGACCAACAGGAUGCGGGGGAGUCACAUCCUACCAACUUCUGAUGAACUCCGAAUGCGCAGAGGGGUGCGUGGCAGUGAGGGGCAGGGUGCUAAGGUCCUGCUCCGAGAGGGGAACAACCCAGACCACCGGCUAAGGUCCCCAAGUGAAUGCUAAGUUGAACAAAGGCGGUCCGGCUGCUGAGACAGCCAGGAGGUUGGCUUGGAAGCAGCCAUUCCUUUAAAGAGUGCGUAACAGCUCACUGGUCGAGCGGGGCGGGCGUCGAUAAUAACCGGGCAUCAAGCAUUUCACCGAAGCCGUGGACUUGCAGUUAGACUGCAAUGUGGUAGGAGAGCAUUCUGACAUCGGCGAAGCUGGGGCGUGAGCCAUCUGGUGGAGAGGUCAGAAACGCAAAUGUAGGCAUAAGUAACGAGAAUGAAGCUGAGAACGCUUCACACCGAAAGGCUAAGGGUUCCUCCGCGAUGGCAGUCAUCGGAGGGUUAGUCGGGGUCUAAGGGGCAGCCGAAGGGCGGGACCUGAGGGGGAACGGGUUAAUAGUCCCGUACUACUGUUGCAGGUCACCUCAUGACGGAGCGUUGGGGGUCUUGGGUGCUGACGGAAUAGCACGCUGAGCGGAGACUUCGGUCGAAGCGAAAGGCUGAAGGGGCUUCCAAGAAAAGUGGGGUGACGGUAAGCGCAAUGGUACCCGUACCGCAAACCGACACAGGUAGCCGGGAAGAAUAUUCUAAGGUGCGCGAAAGAAUCAUGGUUAAGGAACUCGGCAAGAUGACCCUGUAACUUCGGGAUAAGGGGGGCCGUCUCUUUCGGGAGCGGCUGCAGAGAAGAGGCCCAGGCGACUGUUUACCAAAAACACAGGACUCUGCCAAAAUGAAAGUUGACGCAUAGGGUCUGACACCUGCCCGGUGCUGGAAGGUUAAGGGGGGAGCUUAGUCUGCAAGGGCGAAGGUUUGAACUGAAGCCCCAGUAAACGGCGGCCGUAACUAUAACGGUCCUAAGGUAGCGAAAUUCCUUGUCGGGUAAGUUCCGACCUGCACGAAUGGUGUAACGAUCUGGGCACUGUCUCAACCAUGAGUUCGGUGAAAUUGUAGUAGCGGUGAAGAUGCCGCUUACCCGCCACGGGACGGAAAGACCCCGUGCACCUUUACUACAGCUUAGUAGUGGGUGCUGGUUGUGGCUGUGUAGGAUAGGCGGGAGGCUUUGAAGGGGUGUCGCCAGGCAUCCUGGAGCCAACCUUGAAAUACCGCCCUUUCACAACCGGCGUCCUAACCCUUUAUGGGGGACAUUGCUUGGUGGGUAGUUUGACUGGGGUGGUCACCUCCGAAAGGGUAACGGAGGUUUCCCAAGGUCCGCUCAGGCCGGACGGUAAUCGGCUGGGGAGUGCAAUAGCAGAAGCGGGCUUGACAGUGAGGCAAACAGGCCGAUCUGGUGCGAAAGCAGGGUAUAGUGAUCCGGUAGUUCCGCAUGGAAGGGCUAUCGCUCAAAGGAUAAAAGGUACGCCGGGGAUAACAGGCUGAUCUCCCCCAAGAGCUCACAUCGACGGGGAGGUUUGGCACCUCGAUGUCGGCUCGUCACAUCCUGGGGCUGGAGAAGGUUCCAAGGGUUCGGCUGUUCGCCGAUUAAAGUGGCACGCGAGCUGGGUUCAGAACGUCGUGAGACAGUUCGGUCCCUAUCUGUGGUGGGCGUGGGAAUACUGAGGGGGUCUGUCCUUAGUACGAGAGGACCGGGAUGGACCAACCGCUGGCGGAUCGGUUGUCUGGCCGCAGGCACGGCCGAGUAGCUACGUUGGGUUAGGAUAAGCGCUGAAGGCAUCUAAGUGCGAAACCGGCCCCAAGAUGAGUGUUCCGUGUGGUAAGGGUUGUUGGAGACGACGACGUGGAUAGGGUGCAGGUGUAGGCGUGGAGACGCGUUGAGCUGAGCACUACUAAUGAGCCCGAGAGCGUAUGGUC
rfam:Spirosoma montaniterrae strain DY10, complete genome.